ACCAGUUGUUCCGCCAGGGGCAUCGCUGGGUAGCUAUGUGCGGAAGGGAUAACCGCUGAAAGCAUCUAAGUGGGAAACCCGCCCUGAGAUGAGGUAUCCCGGGGACUUGAUCCCCCUGAAGGGCCCUUGUAGACUACAAGGUUGAUAGGCCGGGUGUGUACGCGCAGUAAUGCGUUCAGCUAACCGGUACUAAUCGCCCGUGAGGCUUGACCAC
rnacentral:ncRNA from 1 species